rnacentral:rRNA from 1 species
UACAGAGGUCCCGAGCGUUGUUCGGAUUCACUGGGCGUAAAGGGUGCGUAGGUGGCUGGAAAAGUUUGAUGUGAAAGCUCAGGGCUUGACCCUGAAAUGGCAUUGAAUACUGUCGAGCUGGAGGUUUGGAGGGGGGACUGGAAUUCUUGGUGUAGCAGUGAAAUGCGUAGAUAUCAAGAGGAACACCAGUGGCGAAGGCGAGUCCCUGGACAACACCUGACACUGAGGCACGAAAGCUAGGGGAGCAAACAGG